UGGUGUGGCAGGGGGAGUUCUGUGCUCUGUGGAAGACCAGUCUCUACAAUAUAAUCAGUUCUUCUGAGGCUCCAGCCAGGCUGUGUGAGCACACAGUGGAGAUGUUGUCAGAGGCCUCUGCUGGCUCACUAUGUCCUUGGGCUCUGCACAACCCUAAUAUAGAGUCCAUUGUGUCAUGAUGGUCCGGUCCAGCUGAAAGCAUCAUUUGUACAGUAGAGAAAUGAUGGGCCUUCAUAGAUAAGCCUCUUCAGAAGACUCAGUUCAGAUUUUGAAAUUAGGCAUUGGGGAGAAACAGGAAAUUAACUUUAUAGGUCAUUCAAUUCUUCUCCAUCUCAAGGAGGGGAAAAAUACAAAAAAGCAAAUACUUUUUUUUUCUUCAUUCUUUCCUUCCUUCUUCUUUUGCUUCACUUAAAUAAAUUUUCCUUAAGACUAGAGCACCUACUAGUGAGAAUUCCAGCUCAAGUUACCCCCACAAUCUAGUAGGUGAAAGAGGUGUUUAAGUAAUUAAUUGCUUUAAAUGACAUCAGUGUAGACUUCCCUGUGGCCUACAGUAUAAAAUGAUAUCAAUGUAAUAAUAGGAUUGUUGUAUCUCACACUUCAAACUUGAGAAACAUUUUCUCUAUGUCAAGCACUAUUUACAAUAUUUUACACAAGAAUUGACUAAUCUUCAUGUAAAUCCUAAAAAAUUGUUACUAUAGAUACUUAUGUUUUGCAGAUUAGGAAGCAGAGGUAUAAUAGGGAAAGAAAAUUGACUGAGUGCAUAUUUAAACCCAGACAUUUUGAUUCUAGAGCCAGCAUUUGAUCCACUUGAAACAAAAUACAGAGGGAACACUGAGGAAUUACUCAUGCUACAGGAGUCAGUGAAGGCUUCAAAGAGUAGGUUCAGAUCAUCUGAGCAUUAACUACUAGAUUUGAGGUUAUGUGGGGGAAUAUAAAGUGGUGUUACCAAGAUUAAUAAGUUACUCUUCCUGAUUUCAAGGAACAUAUCAUGGAGUGGGGGAAUCAGACCUCAAAAAAAAAAAAAAAAAAAAAGAAGAAAGAAAGAAAGAAAGAAAAGAAGAGAAAAGAAAACUUCUGUAUUAUGUAGGUUCUAAAGAAGACAAUGUAGAGAGACAUUUUCUCCCAGAACCUCCUUUAAUUACAGGGAAGAGACUUUAAGCCCUACUCCUCCCCAUCUACAAUUUCCCCUCCUCACCCCCACUUUUUAGCAAUCAGGUUUGGCCACAUGGCUUUCACCAAACUGCUCUAAUCAGUUAAAUUAACUGUGGUUGAAUUAGAAUGAUCAUGAUUCAAUUCAGCUUCUGAGCCGGGAAGAGUCACCUCUCUGAGUGCACCGGAGAAGAGCUGUGUGAUCCGUGUUGGCUCUCCACCAACAGAGAAGAGGACAGGGUGUAAAGCUAUUUGCUACCCAAUGGUUCUGUCACAAUGACACUCUGAUAUGGAUAAAACACUCUUGUAAAGGGUUUAUGACCUAUUGUAAAAAUGGGUACUGAUGCUGAAAAUCACUAGGUAACUCCUGCAUGGUUUUGAGAGUUUUAUUUAUUAUAUAUUUCCCAGGAUAAAAAGAUGAAUGAAAGGGCAUUGCUAAGCCAAGGGGGCAAUGGUUAUAAAAAUGACAAUAAAAUAUAUAUAGUAAUAUUUAUAUAGUGAUAAUCUUGUGCCAUAUAUAUGUGUGUGUGUAUUUAUAAUUCAUAUGCGUGUGUUACUUUAGUUAAUUUGUGCCAUUCCUAUGAGGUAGGUAAUGUUAUUAUGCCUAAGCACAAUGAGGUUAAGCAACUGGCCCAAAGUCACAUUACACACAUGAAGUAGCACCUGUAUUAGAAAUGUUAGAGAUUAUUCUAUAUAAUACCCUUGAGAAACAUGCCAAUGACAAUUUUUAAACAAUAUAUAAAAAGCCAAAGACUCUAGUCUCUUGAUAAUUAAAGCUAAAUUCAUCUUAUUUUUAACCUUAGUCAAAUUUCAUUUGCAUACCCCUACAAAGGUUGCUAAGCACAUUUACUGAAAAAAAGAAAAAUAUGUUAAGAUUUUCUAAAAUAAGGUUCAACACCAAGUCCAGGGCACUACAUUUCAGGGCUUAUUCCUUCCUUGAUAGUUCUUUAUAAUUUUACUUAAGACUAAGAUUCAGCCCAGGAGAAGAACACUUUACUGCUAUUUUGACCCCAAGAAGGGGUGGAGGGCAAAUGGGCUGGAAUAGUUUUAAAAUGUAGGGAGAUAUUCUUAGCCUUAAAGACCCAUAUAUAACCCAAUGUUCUUAAGGGGAAGUUAAAUAAAAACAGAUUUUUUCAAGUUCUCUGCCCAAUGUGUAGCAUUCUGUGGUUCUUGAGGGUUUAUUUUGGACUCUAAGGUAUGUCAUUAACUGACCCAGUCACCUGCAUCCCCACAGUCACUAUUUGUAACUUAUAGCUAUUAAGAGAAUGGAAAUAUUACACAUUUUUUUUUUAGUUUUUGUGAAACUGAAUGCAUAUUUUUAAAAAAUAAAUAAUGUAAAGCAAAUGGUAAUCAUUUUAAAAUUCCAGAUGAUAUGAUUAUGAAUGAUACUUAUUUUUAGUGUUUCACAUUUUAUCUAAUGCACUAUGCUGAUAGUCAUAAAAAUGGAUUCAGAUUCAUAGAAAUAGCUAUCAGUUGGGGAGAAUUUAUAGGUGGCUCUUAACUAUGGGCUUACUGUUUUCCAGGUGGUGUGCUUUAAAUGUCUUAUUUCAUCUAAAAGACUGGUGUUGACAUGACACAGAUUCCCAGUGUCUUAUCUUCUCUUCUCUUAUCUUUAUUUAGAGCCUCCUUUCUCCUACUCUCCCAUUCCUACCCAGCCUGACCGACAGGGCAGGAGUGAGAAUGGGGAGAAACAGACUGAAAUCUGGUAAGUGGAAGAAUACAAGAUUUAUGAUCGUAAGUAUAUUUCCAGUCCUUAGAUCUACCAUUUCUAGACUGUGUGAUUAGAAUCAAGUCAGUGGCAUAGAAUAAAAGGUAUAGAUAAAAAAAAUGACUUGGGAUAUGAUAAAUAGUGAUAAAAAAGGACUACAAAAAUUUUAUUACAUGCUUUGAACAGGACUUUCAUAAUCAGAAGAACAAAGAGAAAUGUUUGUCUACACUCUUCAGAGUGUAUCCUGAAUACCACACCAGCUUUAAACAUUCUGACUCCUGUCAUGUUGUAUCCAUGUUCUGGAUUAUGUUUUUAUCUUUUUUAAUUCCAUCAGAAUUCUUGAAAGCUAUUAUCAUCUUUAUACUACAGUUUGAUAAACUGAGACUCAUACUGGCCAAAUAAUUUGUAUAGAUUCUGGUCCCUGGAAGUUGGUAGAGUCAGGAUACAAAUUGAGGUAUAUCUGAAUUCAGAAUCUAAGUUGUUCAUGAAUAAAAUCCUAAUAUCUUUGGCCUAGUACUCAGGGAUUCAAGUGCCUUUCCCAAUCUCUUACUUAAAUUUACUUCUUUAGCCAUCUUGAGUCAGUGUAAACGGAAUUCCACUAUCUCUCCUGAUUGGAAAGCCCUGAUUUCUUGCCAGUGAUCAAAUAUAUCUCUAUCCAUCUCUCCAAGCCCAUCUCAAAUUAUCCUCUAUAACUGAAACCUUCCCAGAGUACACUAGCUGACAAAAAUCCCCUCCACCUCCCCAAAUCAUAUACCUCUAAGAUUUCUCACUUAGCGCUUACUCUAAUGCUGCCUUGUAACAGAUAAGAAAAGUAGAACCCAGAUAGGGCAAAUAAAUUGACCACAAUAACUUAUCUGGUAGGAGGUAGAGAUGGAUUUCGAUAGAAGCUCUUCUUAAUUGUAUAAUCAGAAAUGUUUCCACAGGGUGGGGCGAGGGAUGGUAUCAAGGUGGUGGAAGAAUAGGACAUGGACUUUACUUUCUCCCAGGAACGCAUCAGAAAUGCUUUCAUGAUACAAUUGUAAUUGUAGAGGUAUUCUGGUAACAUUUUACUUAGGUACCUGAUAUGUGAGGAAUCCGAAUCAUUUUUUGAAUGAAAGCUAUAGGAGAGUUAGGAAAUUAGCACUCAACAGGAGACUUUGAAAGUUUGUAACCAAUGGAGUAACAUGAAAGGAACUAUAACAUAAUUUAUAACAUCUCAAACCAGGAUUCUUUGCACUUUCCAAUCAAGAGAUACUUGAAGCUCUGUCUCUGUUUGGAUAACUCUUUCUAGGUCUUAUUUUCCAAAAAUUGAGAAUCAUAGGGUCCUUACUGGGGGGUAUUUGAACUGGCCUCUCUCCAGUUUUCCAGGCUUGCAAAGCAUUUCUUGUUCCUUCUUUGAUGAAGCAGCCCUGGAUGUAAGUGUAAGCUUUAGAAUUUUCGAACAGAGAAAAUUCAUCACUGCGUUUCUAAUGAGCCAACCCUUGAAAACUGAAGACACCCAUUUCUUUCUUCCAUAUCCUGUUUGGUCUGCUUCAGAUAUAUACAAGGAAAGUAGACAUCAUCUUAACAUUCAUUCAGUUCAACAGUGGAAAACUAACAGUGUGGCAUUUUAGAGGCUAAGUUGUUACUAUUGUUCCACAUAAGAUCUGGACAUUAAAAGUCCCUGUCAUAUCUCAAAGGUUCUUGUCAACAUAGCAAAAAGAUUCUAAACCAAUCAUUAACUUUAGGGUGCUUUUGGAAAUAUUCAUUUAAAGGGCUUCGUUUUUUUCAGAACAGAUUUACUAUGCCCUAUUGAUGGGAAAAGAUGGCUCUGUCCUUCUGAACAUUUCCAGUUUGACAAAAUGAUUUUUAAAUUAAGGCCAGACACAAGAUAACAAGUGCUUGUCUUUCUUUCUUUCUUUCUUUCUUUCUUUCUUUCUUUCUUUCUUUCUUUCUUUCUUUCUUUCUUUCUUUCUUUCUUUCUCUUCAGUUUUUGCUUUUACUCUCAUUACAAAGAAAACUGAAUAUCUCAUGGACUUACUGAAAAGAAUAAGAAAAGGAACUAUGUAAAUACAUGUCUAAGGAAAUUUCAUAUAUAACAUACAACAAAUUCAGUUAUUUUCAGUAAAAAGGAGAUUCCCGUUUCAUGGCUUAAUCUCUGCUUCCUGUCAGUUUUUCUAAGAAUAAAUUAACUGGCAAUAAUAAUUACAGUGAUGAUAACAAUUUCUUAUCUAUGAAGUUUCUACUGGUUUUCAGACAUUGUGUUAUAUACACAUAUCAUUUACCUUACUCAUAACAUCUAUCCAGUAAUGUAAGCAUUGCCAUUCCAUUGCCCAUAUGAGGAAAUAUGAAGGUCAAAAAGAUUAAGUAGCUUGUCCAAGAUCACUUUAAAAAAAUGACAGAUAAGAUUUAAACCCAGCUCUUUAUAACUACCAUCUCAUGCUCCUAAAUCAUGUAUACUUCCAAUAUGACUAUAAAGCACUGUGCUAGAUAUCACUGAGAAUACGUAAAAUGUAUAUAAAAUAUACAAUUAAAUAUAAUUUAUGUAAUAAUGUAUAUUUUCCUUACUCUCAAAUAUCAUGUAAUGAAUAUGCUAAAAUAAGUGACUAAAACAGCAUGUAUAGAGAAAGAAUGGAAUGUGUGAUAUAUGCUCCUAAGUACUAUGGCAGCUCACAGAAGACCAAACUCAAUAUAGGCUGAAGAAGCCAAGAUAGCUUCAUGAAGAGGGUAAGGUUUGAACUGGCUUCUGCUGAAUUCAUGUGCCUUGAAUAGGAACAAAAGGGAGGUUGUUUGUGGUCGGGGACAGGAAGCAGGGAUAGAAUAGAGCAUAACACGUCAUGUGAUCAGGAGUAAAACUAUGAAGAAAGGAGAGGGAUGGUGAGUAAAGAGAUAACCCUGAUAUUCUAUUUGUGCAGUAAUGAUAUAGCUACCAUUAGAUGGAAGUCAGAUGAUGUGCUACUUGUCAUGUAUUCAACAUAACAUUUACAUGUCUAGUAAGCAUGAAUUAUUUACCUAUAUUUACUAUUAGAAAGUGGGGCACAGAGGUAAAAGUAACUUGUUCAUGGUACAUAAAGCCAGAAUGUAACUGAGUCUUUUGACUUGGAAACUUGGAUGCUUAAUCACUCUAUAUGAUUGUCUGUUGGGAUCUAUGAUCUGGGAUAUUAUAAUAUUGAUUCAAAGAUGAAGAGUUAUCACUAAGAUUGAGUUUAAAGUGAGUAUAUAUAUAAUGUACAGCAGAAGAGAGAAAAGGUAUCUCCAUUUCUCCUAUUCAGUAAUCAUGAUUUGAGUGCCUACAGACAAGGCGGGGCAAUAGGUGGAAGUCCAAGGAAAUUGAGGCUGGGUCUAUGACCUCAAAGAGGUUCUAAUCUAUUGUAGGAGGUGAGACCUGUAGAGUAAUAAAUAGCAUCUAAAGUAUUACAUGGUAUGUAUCUUUGAAAAGGUAAAAAGAGACAAAAAGAAAAAUAGAUCUUUUCCAAAUAAAUGGAAGCAAAUCAGAGACUUCAUGGAAAUGGUAGAAUCAGAUAUGCAAACAGGAUAGAGAGAGUUGGCAAUCAGCCAAUUGGUUUCAUAGAAGUAAACCAAGGUAGGAGUUCCUGUUGUGACUCAGCUGGUUACAAACCUGACUAGUAUCCAUGAGGAUAUAGGUUUGAUCCCUGGCCUCGCUCAGUGGGUUAAGGAUCUGGCAUUGCAGUGAGCUGUGGUGUAGGCUAGCAGGUGCAGCUCCGAUUUGAUCCCUAACUUGCGAACUUCCAUAUGCCAUGAGUGCAGCCCUAAACAAACAAACAAAAUAAUAAUAAUAAAAAUCGAAAAAAAAUAAACCAGCAUAAACUCAGAAAUAUGGAACAAAAUUGAUCAUACACGGUUUGAUCUGACUAGUGCACAAAUUCAUGUAGAAGGUUGUAACAGGGAUGGAGAUGGGAAAGCUGAUGAGGUCAGAUUGAGAAAGUCCUGAUGUCAACAUCAUAGUCCAGACUUGUAAACAAUGGGGAGACAUUGAAGACUAAUGAGCUGGAAAUAUAAACUCUACAAAUGAAGAGACUUUUCUGUCUUUUCCAGUCUUUGCUUGACAUAUAUUUGCUCUUAAUAAAUAUUUGAUGAAAGAAUCAAUGAGUUGCCAUCACAUAGUCAAGGCUAUGUUUUAGCAAGGCAGCGAUGUGUAACAUGAGUUAUGAAAAGGAAAGGCUAGAGAAAAAAAAAAAAAA
rnacentral:lncRNA from 1 species